rnacentral:rRNA from 1 species
GACGUAGGAGGCGAGCGUUGUCCGGAUUCAUUGGGCGUAAAGAGCGCGCAGGCGGCUUGGUAAGUCGGAUGUGAAAUCCCGAGGCUCAACCUCGGGUCUGCAUCCGAUACUGCCCGGCUAGAGGUAGGUAGGGGAGAUCGGAAUUCCUGGUGUAGCGGUGAAAUGCGUAGAGUAUCAAGAGGAACACCUGAGGUGAAGACGGGUUGCUGGGCUGACACUGACGCUGAGGCGCGAAAGCCAGGGGAGCAAACGGG